GUGGUAGCCUAGUGGUUAGAGCGUUGGGGCGGGUGGUAGCCUAGUGGUUAGAGCAGCAGGUAGCCUAGUGGUUAGAGGGGCAGGUAGCCUAGUGGUUAGAGGGGCAGGUAGCCUAGUGGUUAGAGGGGCAGGUAGCCUAGUGGUUAGAGGGGCAGGUAGCCUAGUGGUUAGAGGGGCAGGUAGCCUAGUGGUUAGAGCAGCAGGUAGCCUAGUGGUUAGAGCAGCAGGUAGCCUAGUGGUUAGAGCAGCAGGUAGCCUAGUGGUUAGAGGAGCAGGUAGCCUAGUGGUUAGAGCAGCAGGUAGCCUAGUGGUUAGAGCAGCAGGUAGCCUAGUGGUUAGAGCAGCAGGUAGCCUAGUGGUUAGAGGGGCAGGUAGGCUAGUGGUUAGAGGGGCAGGUAGCCUAGUGGUUAGAGGAGCAGGUAGCCUAGUGGUUAGAGGGGCAGGUAGCCUAGUGGUUAGAGGGGCAGGUAGCCUAGUGGUUAGAGGGGCAGGUAGCCUAGUGGUUAGAGGGGCAGGUAGCCUAGUGGUUAGAGAGACAGGUAGCCUAGUGGUUAGAGAGGCAGGUAGCCUAGUGGUUAGAGCGUUGGGGCGGGUGGUAGCCUAGUGGUUAGAGCGGCAGGUAGCCUAGUGGUUAGAGCGGCAGGUAGCCUAGUGGUUAGAGGGGCAGGUAGCCUAGUGGUUAGAGCAGCAGGUAGCCUAGUGGUUAGAGGGGCAGGUAGCCUAGUGGUUAGAGUGUAGGGGAGGCAGGUAGCCUAGUGGUUAGAGCGGCAGGUAGCCUAGUGGUUAGAGCGGCAGGUAGCCUAGUGGUUAGAGCGGCAGGUAGCCUAGUGGUUAGAGCGUUGGGGCGGGUGGUAGCCUAGUGGUUAGAGCGGCAGGUAGCCUAGUGGUUAGAGCGGCAGGUAGCCUAGUGGUUAGAGCGUUGGGGCGGGUGGUAGCCUAGUGGUUAGAGCAGCAGGUAGCCUAGUGCUUAGAGCAGCAGGUAGCCUAGUGGUUAGAGCGUUGGGGCGGGUGGUAGCCUAGUGGUUAGAGCAGCAGGUAGCCUUGUGGUUAGAGCGUUGGGGCGGGUGGUAGCCUAGUGGUUAGAGCGGCAGGUAGCCUAGUGGUUAGAGCGGCAGGUAGCCUAGUGGUUAGAGCAGCAGGUAGCCUAGUGGUUAGAGCGUUGGGGCGGGUAGUAGCCUAGCGGUUAGAGCAGCAGGUAGCCUAGUGGUUAGAGCGUUGGGGCGGGUGGUAGCCUAGUGGUUAGAGCAGCAGGUAGCCUAGUGGUUAGAGCGGCAGGUAGCCUAGUGGUUAGAGCGGCAGGUAGCCUAGUGGUUAGAGCGGCAGGUAGCCUAGUGGUUAGAGCGGCAGGUAGCCUAGUGGUUAGAGCGGCAGGUAGCCUAGUGGUUAGAGCGGCAGGUAGCCUAGUGGUUAGAGCGGCAGGUAGCCUAGUGGUUAGAGCAGCAGGUAGCCUAGUGGUUAGAGCAGCAGGUAGCCUUGUGGUUAGAGCGUUGGGGAGGCAGGUAGCCUUGUGGUUAGAGCAUUGGGGCGGCACGUAGCCUUGUGGUUAGAGCAUUGGGGCGGCAGGUAGCCUUGUGGUUAGAGCGUUGGGGAGGCAGGUAGCCUUGUGGUUAGAGCAUUGGGGCGGCAGGUAGCCUUGUGGUUAGAGCGUUGGGCCAGUAACCGAAAGGUUGCUAGAUUGAAUCCCCGAGCUGACAAGGUAAAAAUCUGUCCUUCUGCUCCUGAACAAGGCAGUUAACCCACUGUUCCUAGGCCGUCAUUGUAAAUAAGAAUUUGUUCUUAACCGACUUGCCUAGUUAAAUAAAGGUCUUAAAAAAUGUUUUAACAAUCCCUUGAAAACGGCACGCAGUUGUCAAUGGUUUUAGCAGAGCUGACGGUCUUCUUGCUCUACAGCAGCCAAAUGAAACGCUCUGCACCCUGUUGUGACGUCUUAUUGAUAACGACCUAUGGGGACAAACAUCUGGAACAGAUCAUUAGGAUUCUCAGGUUCCAAAUAUAUGAAAUGUCAUGUUGGCUCAUACACAUCCAGAGGCUGCUACAGCCUCUCCUCAUGUAAUGCAUGUCAAUCCCUGGAGUCAAAGACAUGCUGGUUGAGUUGGAAAGAAAGCGUUAUGUUUCUAAUUUCUUAAUGUCGUAAAUUAAACUGUAAUAUUAUACAAAAUGAUAAGAACUGUAUUAUAAUGAGCGAACUGAAUCUAAGUUAAUCUAUGUUCAUGUUUUAGUUCUAGUCCAUGUGAAUUGUUCAAUAUGUGUAUGUCUCAGCAAAGAUAAAACUAUGUGAGUUUACAUAUGGCUUAAAAAUAAAUGUCAAUUUCUUUCUAUUUUCCAUAAAUGUAUAAAUAUAGACAUGAAUUGUUCCUUAGUUUUGGUGUUUGCCUGUAACAUCUAGUAGAUGUAGCAACAUUGCUAUUUAUUGCAGAGAUGAAAUUAUUAGACUGUUUAUUUGCUUUAUCUUGUUUCUAGUUAUUGUUCUGUAAGAUAUGUUAUGUGCAUUGUGUAACUAAAAUGUUCAUUUAAAACUAUUUACUUUAAUAGGGAAUUAUUUAUGUAAAAAUUGUUUGUAAAAUCUAUUUUGGUUUUUAUGACAUUAAACAUGAAUUGAACUUGGUACACAGAGUGUGAUGGAAUUGGUUCUGCUUACUAUAAACUAUGAAGAUUUGUAUUAAUGGUAUAACUGUUUUUAAAGUAUACAUUUCAAUGAUUUAUUUGAUUUGCUAUAGAUAUGUGUCCAGAAGAGAGGUGAUCGCCUCCAUACAUUAAUAUCUCCCCUGCAGGACCCCUCUACACUACCAUGUCCUGAUCUGUCCAUCAGGACCCCUCUACACUACCAUGUCCUGAUCUGUCCAU
rnacentral:lncRNA from 1 species